rnacentral:misc_RNA from 1 species
CAUGCAUCACUUAUAAAUAUAUAUCUAUGUAGUUAAACACUAGACAUAUUUUAUAUUGCAUUCAUAAUUGAUGAAGUGCCAUAGAUGUUGUUUGUGUUAAUUUGGAGCAGUGUGUGUGCGUUGGCGUGCGUGUGGUAUGGUAUUGGAUAUGGACAGGACGGGUAGACACGGCUUGAGAGAUACUCGCUGGGACCCAAUUCUUCGGGGUAGACACCGCUUGAGAGACACUCGCUGGGACCUGAUCUUUCGGGGUAGACAUGGCUUGAGAAAUACUCGCCGGGACCCCGCAUUUGGUUUAUUAA